GACGAACGCUGGCGGCGUGCUUAACACAUGCAAGUCGAACGAUGAACUCCAGCUUGCUGGGGGGAUUAGUGGCGAACGGGUGAGUAACACGUGAGUAACCUGCCCUGGACUCUGGGAUAACCCCGAGAAAUCGGAGCUAAUACCGGAUAGGACCUUCUCCCGCAUGGGGGUUGGUGGAAAGUUUUUCGGUUUGGGAUGGACUCGCGGCCUAUCAGCUUGUUGGUGAGGUAAUGGCUCACCAAGGCGUCGACGGGUAGCCGGCCUGAGAGGGUGACCGGCCACACUGGGACUGAGACACGGCCCAGACUCCUACGGGAGGCAGCAGUGGGGAAUAUUGCACAAUGGGCGCAAGCCUGAUGCAGCAACGCCGCGUGCGGGAUGACGGCCUUCGGGUUGUAAACCGCUUUUAGUAAGGAAGAAGGGGAGCUUGCUCCUUGACGGUACUUGCAGAAAAAGGACCGGCUAACUACGUGCCAGCCGCCGCUGUAA
rnacentral:rRNA from 1 species